rnacentral:lncRNA from 1 species
UUUUUUUUUUUUUUUUUGCUUUAAUAUUUAAGUACAUGUUGAAUACUGAAAAAAAAAAAAAUAGUACAUGUUGAAUUCUUAUUCUUUGGUAAUAUUCUUUUUGUGAAUACUGAAAUUUAAGUGCUGAAUUCUUAUUUGUUCUUUUUAUAAGAUUACAACUAACCACACCAUGGGAUAAAGACCUCCAAGCACUCUGAGUUUCAACCUUAAGGUCUCCUUGGCUUUGAAUACUUUAUUUGUUGAACUCAAGAAGUCAUAUUUUGGUCGAUAAGUUAAAUUUUGAGUGCUGGAUUAAAAGAUUUUAUUUUACAUUUAUUAUUUAGUUUAAUACUGAUAAUUUUUUUUUUACUUUUAUAUUAGACUAGUUUUUUAAAUAGGAAAAAUGACACAAAAUUUACCUCGCCUUUUCCAAUUAAAAUUUUGCGUUCCUUAAAUUUGAUUACAAGAAACAGAACAUUUUAUUCUUGAAUUCCUACAGCAUAUAUAUAUAUAUAUAUGACGUUUACUUUCUUUUCUUUUCAGUUAAAACAAAACUAUCUACUUAUUUUUUCAAAUUAAUUAUAAAAUUCUUCCACUCUUGUAUAUAUAUUCUUUGCUUUUUUUUUCUUUUCUGUUAAAACUUUCUCCAGAAGGUAAAAGGACAAUAAAUACGCUGUCAGCAAUUCUCUGCACCACAAGACUUCACAUUUUUGUUCCCAUAAGUAGAAGAGAGACAAAAGAUACAGAAGCAUUUUGCUGGCAAACAAACUGAAAUUACACAACUCCUACAGCAUUGAUCCUGGACAUCAGCAACAUAAAUCACACGAAACAUAUCAUCUUCUUCAACUAUUACAAGUACUAAGAACUUCAAACUUGAAUCCACCUAGAAUUCACAGCUGAUAUGAUUGUGAGGAGGAGAUACACCAUGACACCAAAGUAGGAGAGUGCCACAGAAAUAGCAACUUUUCUACAGAAUUUGCCAAAGUUGUCACAGAUUGGCAUCCAACCAGUAUGGCUGUUCCCAUGUUGUCCAACGUAUCCAAUUGCAGUUGCUGCUGCACAUCCGGCCAUCAGUAGGGUAACCACCAUCUGUCAAAAAAAAAUCAUCAAAAUUCGAAAACCGACUCAGAAGUUCAACAUGUUCAAUUUCUUUCUUUCUUUUUUCUUGGAAUUAAAACACUGUAGUACUGUAACAUGAAUGAUCACCAAAAUUUUCUAUCAUGACAUACCAAAUCAUGGAGGAAAAAGUAGAAAAACUUCAUUCCAACCAGAGAUUUGUAACUAAUGACGAGGAGAAGAAGCAAGGAUAAAGCCGAGACUGCACACACGAUGACAUUGGCAUACGCGAAGAAUCUGCACAUUCGCGAAAUAAUAAUUUCAGGCAUAUAUACAAAUUCAUCUAUGAAAUCAAAAUACAGCAAUGCAUAUAGAAAAUAUGGUUAGAGAUGGUACUAGUGUUUCUUACUUGAAUGCCGGAGAGUAGCUAUAACGUGCAUCAACAACCAUCCCAAAAACCGCAACAGUUUGCUUGCUAGUGAGGAUAAUCCAUGCUGCAGCAAGGGUGGCUACCGUGGCCAAAAGCCUCAAGCAAAUUUGGGCCAUAAAGGAAAGUUUAUGGGUUUUAAGAGUUGAGUUAUGGAUGUGCUUGGCUUCAACGUUUUCCAUUUCAGAGUUUUCUUGAACUUAAGCAAGAUGAACCAACAAUUACUAAUAUGUUCUUUACCAUCAGUUGCAGGAUACAAUUAAUCUAUAACUGUAGAUCUAGGAUAUGAAUUUGGGAUGCCGAAUUUUGGGGGGUAUUUAUAGGCGAACAAAGGUGUGGGAUGUGGGGAACUGGAUCAGUCUACCAAAACAUGGGCACGAAUUUAGUGCUACUAGUUCUUACGUGAAAAAUGGCGUGUCAUUAUGAUUUGAAGAAGAACUAAAAAAGUUUUGUUGGAGCUAUUUCUAGAGGUGUUUGUCUGUCCCUAUAUAUACUAGGUGUAAAUUAAAAGAACAAAAUAAUGAGCAGUUAUUAAAAAAGUUUUAUUAGGUAGUGUAAUGUGAUUUUUUUUUAUUGUUAAACAAAAAAAGAAAAAGGGAGUUAUUGGCAGUUAUUGGAAUCUACUAAUUAGCUUUUUAGUGUGAGGGUACAUAGAGCACAAAUUAAAAGAAAAAAAUAAUGAGCAGUUAAAAGGUUUUAUCAGGUUGUGUAAUGUGAUUUUUUUUUAUUGUUAAACAAAAAAAAAAAAGAAAGAGAAGUUAUUGGCAGUUAUUAGAAUCUACUUUUUAGCUUUUCAGUGGAAGGAUAAAUAAAUUAAAAAAAAGUAACAAAAAAAAUUUUACACCGUACCCCUUUCUUCUCCCUUUAUAUACAGUAAGAUAUAAGAUAAUAUAUUCAUGGGCUUCAUUUAAAAGCGCUGAGCAUGACCAAAUCAAUGCUAGACUUUUUUCUUUGUCAUUUUCAAAUGUUCAGACAAACAAAGAUUGCAGGCUUCAAAUCCUCUGUUCCCAAAGUAGCCUCUGUCCCUUAUUUGUGGUAAAAAAGAGUUUUAUUGAUUUGGGGUAAAAAAUAAAGAAGAGUUUUAGUUAAUUUCUAUGUUUAUGAUCAACAAGACUCUUUUUUGUUAAAAAGAAAAUAAAAAAAAAGUUUUGAGUUAUCUGUUUUAAUUGAUUUUGAGUAAACUUGUAAAUCGAUUAUUAUCGAUUUAUUUGAGUUCGGGUUAACAAAAGACUAAAGACACGUGGCAAUUGUACAAAUAAGGGACAUAGGCUACUUUGGGGACAGAGGAUUCGAAGCCAAGAUUGCAAAAAUAAAGAAGAGGGACUAACUUAUCCACUUUGAAGCAUUAUAUACAGUUUUGAAGAUAUUUUUGAGACAUAGAGGCAACGAGUUAGCAACUUUGUUGGGAUUCAUAAUGUCAGUUUUUGGGCCAAUUGCAAGAAUAAUACCAAACUUACAUAUCUAUACUAUACUACACAUAAAAUCUGAAGACGGGGUUUGGAGUUAACAGAAAAGCUGCAUCAUGUAAGCCAAUACAUCUUUGUUUUUGGAAAUAUGAAUGAUAUAAGAAACUGAAAGAAGAUAGUGAUAAGAUGGAAUGGUUAUUUUGUUUCAUGUAACCCUUCUGUUUCUUUAUCUCAUAGUGUCAUGAGAUUCCUUUUUAGCCUUCAGGAUCAUUUAGACGUUAGAGAAGGGGUAACUCAGGACAAAAGUAAAAGAUGAUGAAGAUCCAUUUUCAAGCUAAUUCAAGUGUUGAGGGCUUAAACAAAAUCCAAUAGCACUGCAAAGAUUUUAGUGUUUAAUAACUUUAAUUAAUUUAAUUUUCUUUGGAACUGGAAAAUCCCAUUUCUUUUCAGCUAUUAGGCCACAAAAUCCAAUAGCUUCCAAACUUCAUUUGCAUAUGAAAAAGAUAGAAAUCAAUUGAUUUCUAGUUUCUACUCAUAAUCUAAGAGGGGAGCCUUUCAUGUUAUUGUUUAUUAAGCCAACUGUCCCUUCAACUUCAAGAGAUCUUUUACUUUUAACUAAAAAUGCAUUGGGAAUAGAUGACUGAUACCAGCAAAUCAAUGCUUUUAUAGCAAUUUUGGUGCCUGCAAAAGAUCUCUACUCCAACAGGUUGCAUGCUUCAAAAAUGGAGCUUACAAAAAGCCCAUUGCCCUCCGGCAUGUGCUCUCUUUUCCAUUCAAUACAAGCAUAGCAAGUUUGCAUGAAAAAAAAAAAAGGACCCAUCUUUUAUGACAACAGAACCAUCUUCUUUUUUCAUUUUUCCCAAGGGUGGUAAAAUGAACUUUUGAACGUUUUCAUUUCUUGCUAUGAUCAGUUGUGUUUGUCCAUUCUUUUCGAACACUUCGACUCUAUUCCCAUGUUUGUACUUUUCUUUGCAUGCAUGGGUGACCUGCAUCUUGAUAUUCAAGUGAAAGUUGCAGAAAAAGAAAAAGACUAACUUGCAGAGUUCUUAUUUUCUGCCUCUCCAUUUCAAGUACAAAGAGAAAACGUCAUGUAUUACAUUUACAAAGUAGAAAACGUCAUGUAUUAUUCUGAAUAAUCUGCAAAUUUAUUUAUUUAUUUUUUGUUUAAUUAACAUUCUCGUAUAAACGUAGGCCAAGUUUUCUAAGUAAAAUUAAGAAGAAUAAAAGAGAGUUCUACACCAGCUACUUGGGAGGAAUGCACCAUUAGCUCAAUAUCUAGUUUGGUUUGGAUCUUUCAACAAAAAAUUUUCUCACCAUGCUGAUGGUUCCUGCAGUUCAGUGAGGGCACUACAAUCUGACAAAAGUUUGUUUCCUUUUUUUUUUUAAUUGGUAGAAGACAAUGGUCAAAAGAAAGAAACUAUUGUCAAACUAUUGUUUCUUUCUUUUGACCAUUGUCAAAUAGGAGUAUAGAAUGGGCAAUUGAAAGGAAUAUGAGUAUGAAUGUGCUUAAAUUUAGUAUACACAAACUUAGCCAGCAAAUUUGGUAAAACGUACAAAAUAAAAGGGCUUUGAAUGCAAUGUGCAAGGAUUAAAGAAUCUGUGUACAAUGUUGGUAUGGGUACAAAUUUUUCCUACACAGUAAAUUGAGCAAUACACCUAAACAUAUCAGCCAGGAGGACUUUCACCAUGAUGAGAAGGUGAUGAAGUGUCACUUUCUAGCUUUGAUUUAGUCCUUUUUCAAAGGAGCAUGAAAGCUUAUCUACACUGUUUACAAUUCUUUCACUAGACUGAAUGAUCUAUUUAUUCUGAUGGAUUUACAGGUGACAUGGGCUAUGGCCAUGUCUGUAAAUGGCCAAGAAGAUACAUGUACUGAUAUUUACAAGAAAAGCUACAUCAGUUGGUAACUUAACAGGACUUUCUAGUUGUCAAGGUCAAAGUACUUUGGAUCAGAUGGAUAAUGAUAUUCCACAUGCAACUGCAAUGCCAAACUGAAAACCAGUUAGAGAGUCUUAAAUAUUCUCAGAUGUGAAAGACUCGCAUUAACUAGCAACAAAGAGUACAUUGACUAGUAGAGGUCCUGUAGGUCUGGCAUUUCAAUCAGUAAAAACUACUAUCAUACAUGCUUAGUGUUCUUUAGAGCACUACAAUUCAUGUUGCAGCAGAGAAAAUAAGUUUUUCGGAGUCAAAAUGCAUGCAUCCUUCCAGAUAAUGCCCAUUUCUAUGAAUUUGCUUGUAAUUCUCUCAUGCUCAACUGCUAAGUGCAAAUUAUAAAAUUCAAUUGUGCAUGACAGAAUCAUAAACAAAUCCACAGAAAUUAUCUGGAUGAUUGCAUAAAUAAGGCUCACAGCCAAUUGACAAAGGCCACUCCCAGUAACUACUACUAAGUCAUAGAUAGAAGGUAUCAUGCUCAAAACAGACUACGACAAUAUAGCUAGUCAUGGCCCAGAAGAUGGUAAACUUGAUAUUUGAAUGAAAAAUUGAACGAGUUAGCAUGUGAAAAAUCAAGAAAAAGAAAAACAUGAAUUAAGGGGGAUUUAGAACACAAAGUAAUAGAUAAUUGAGAACAAGAGUUCAACAACAACUUGUGUAUGCUUUCAGUAACAUUAGAAUUAGUAUAAUUCAGGCUAUCUAGCAUAUUAUUCAGUUUUAACCUCACCAAUUAUCUUGUCCUCAGGCAAGUUACAGUUACAGUCCCAAUUCCUAAAUAUAGUUAUUUAUCUGCAACAAACCAAAUACUUUCAAAGCAGGUAUACAUCUUCAGCUUAGACAUAUAAAAUUUGAAAAAGAAACAGUGAGAUUACUAUUUUUGCUUUUCCCUACUGAAUUCUUGAUUCAGGUUGAAGGUCAUGUUCUCUUAUAGCAAUUUACUUCAGUUGUGUCAUCCUAAUUAUGGACAAAACCACCAAUCAAAAGCAGAACAUCACACACUAGAGAUAGACUUUUAGACAUACCUUCCCCUCGUCAGAAUCUGAAUGACGCUGAGGGAACACCACCCUCAAAUCAUUAUACAGAUAGAAGCGCCUCUCACCUUCAAUGUCCAUUCUGUUUCUCACAGGCAGAGCAGCAGUAUCAGACUUGCACCUCUGAAAUGUUCUGGAAUAUUUCUUUGGGUGUGGACACAGAAAUCUGACAUGUAGAGCAUAACGGAGAACACCAGGACAUGCAGUACUGUCAUUGACCUUUGAAGUGCCAUUUGCGUAUUUGCUUUCAGUAACACUAGAUGGUACAGUAGGUACAUUCUCCAACUCUAUACUGCCCCUAUGUUCUUUAAUAUCUGAUCUUUCUACCAGAUGAACUCCAUCCGAACCAGAAAGCACUGUUUCAUGCUGUAAAGAAUCACCACUUUUUGCAGUUGUAGGUGACUUGCCCUCUUUUUUCAAGUCAGAUCUCCUUCUGUCUAAAGCUAAAGUAGCCUUUUGGCGUAGAAAUGUCUGCAAAGGUUUAUUGAUGAAAUAGAUAAAUUUGGUAAUUCUAUGUUCUUUACUCAUGACAACCACCUCCAAAUAUGCAUGAUAAAGAAUCUGCUAACUCAAAAUACAGCAAUUAACAAAAACCAUGGAGGUAAGAUCAAUUCAAGAUAUAACUAGUCAAGAAACCUUGUCUUUUUGUUCUUUCCUUUUUCUGACAAUAAAUCAUGUACAUGUACUAAUCAAGGAUAAUAGAAACUGUCAAAAUGCUCAGUCAGCUAAUUCACAAUUAACAGCAGCAUGGAAGAUAAUCAGAAGAGCUAUCUGCCAGUCUGUUCUUGACUGGAAGCAACCUACUUCUCUAUUAAGAAAUACAGCUUCCAUCAACUGAGCAUUUCGAGAACCAGUAAGUGAAUUAUGAUGUCUACACUUCUCAAUGACUAAAAGUGAUAUGCUCAUCAGCAAUAAAAGCUUCGUUUCAGAGGAGGGGAAAAAGGUAAACAAGCAGAUUGAUCUCAACUUAGUUUAUUAAGCAAAACCUGAGUAGAAGACCAAGUAAAUGACUAAACACAAAUCCAUCUCAACAACAAAAGCAAACAAGAACAAAGGUACUGAUGUAAAAAACAGAGAAGAGCAUGCUAAUGUUAAGUUUUCGAUUAGCUUAUGAAAGCCACAAGUACCUUGGUGCCAGCAGGCAUGUCACUUAAAUCGUAAUUACAAACAAAUGUGUGAAUGGGUGUUCUCUCUGGAUUGCUCAAAACCUGCAAAUGGAAAUUCAAUUAUCAACUUAAAUAAAGAAACAGCCAAGAGCAUCUACGCAAGAAGAAAACAACUAAAUGUUUAGCAGCUAGCAGCACAGUCCACAAGAAACCUUUUAAGUUCCAAAGACAAUUCAAAAUUGUGUUUUCUUAUACUCAAGGAUUUCAUCUGAACAGAGUUCAUUUCAACUCACAUGGUAAGAUAUCAAUACCUUGAAGCACGAAAUUAGAUCUAGAUCUUAAUCAUGGAAUGAGAAGUAACAGUAAAUAGAAAUGAGUGCUAAAAACUUUCUACAAUGGUGAAUAAUGAUAAUCUUCAUGUAUUUGUAUUGCUAAACCAAUCAGGAAUCACAACAGUAGCUAGAUGACGAAACAGAUGCAAAGUUAAAAAGGAAAAAGAAACAGAAAAAGUUAAGAAAUGGUUCUAUGCAACAAUAUAUGGAGGAAGUUGAGAGACUUUUACAUUGCAACCUUCACAGCACAUAUGCAAGGUUUUUACUAUUGUUCAAGUUCUUCCUUCUAUUCACUUAUAUCCAGGUACAAAUAGGUCUGAACUGAGUGAGACCACAGAGCACAAGAAAACUCCCAGUUUGAUUUCCUAGGAGAGUGGAUUUUUUUAAGCAGAUUGACUUAUCAACUUGGAGAAAUUCGCAUAAGUUUAUUCAAUUAUGUUUAUGGUCAACUUCAGAAUAAUGUGCUAAUGAAUUUUUGCAAAGAAUAAGGAACUAGGAAAUGCUCUCAUGAAGUCCAUCUUCCUUAUUUAGGGGUAACAUGUUAAUAAACGAGUACAUCUAUUUGAAAAAAAAAAUGACAUUGAAUACUUGGUCUCCACUUUCUCGUUUCUAGAAUAAUUUCACAUUGCUCAGAAUCCAAGUUGAUUGCUAAUUAACUAAUAGAUGUAAACAGAUAGCCAGUACGAACAUAAGUCAUAAUCAAUUUAACUAGUUUAUUCACUCCUGUUGAAUAAUCUAUAAAACUAAACCAGCAGUUGCAAAUUCAAUUACAAGCAAUAAGUAUUGCAGUUAUUCAUUGAAAUUAGGCUUUAAAGAACUAUCGGACAAAUCAUGUUAAGACUUUAAGGUCAGAAGUCCUAACUUCACAGCUAGGAAACAAUAACCACAAACUCAAAAUCAUGAUAGACAUGAGUGGUCAAACAACCUUCCAAUUUUAUCUGUAACUUGAUCUUCAUAAUUUAUCACUUGAACUUACUGUAGGAGCAUAUUUGCAUGUUUUAACAGUAUAUAAUUGCUUUGCCAUUGGGACGUCACCUGGUGCAGACGUACAACAUAUUCAUCCACAAGAUACAAAAACAUUAAGGGACAAGAAUCACCAGUUGUAUACGCCCUUUCAUAGGAACACGCAAGCGACUUCUUUCUGUUGGGGAGCCAUUGCUGCUAAAGCUCCUCUUCAUUGUUGGGGCUUUGUACUUAUUAGGAGACGACUGCCCUCCUAAAUCUAUUGAUGAAUAAUAAAGUAAGUAGUUAUCACCAUCCACACUUGUCGCAGAAAAUGGAAGUUUCUGUGGGUGGGGUGAGAAGCUUCCUCCAGUAAUAUUAAGAACCGCAAGGAAACCAUCAAAUUUCUGCAUAAAAAGUUCAGAGUGGGGUAUAAUGAGGUAGAGCAUAAAAGCCUAAUUGAACAAAGAACUUGCCAACUGACAUCGGGAGUAUAUGGAAAAGUACAUGAGACACAACUGAUGUAUGAGUUUUAACAUGAAAACUUACCUGGGACGGAAUCCCAGAUGCUAAACGACCAGAUAACAGUGAUUCCUCAAAUGAACCAACCAAGGAUCUUUUAACAGACAAUCCACUGAGAUUCCUACCUAAUUUGGCACAUUGGUUUGUAAAUGCUGAGUCACAUCCCAAGUUACCUCUAGUAGCAGUUAUACUUUCAGGAGUGAAUUGCUCUAAGUUCAUUUGAAAAACAUCAAUAUCUUCAAAUGUUUCACAUGCCAUUUUAGAAUCCUUUUCUGUUUGAGAAGAUGGUAUGGCACAGAUAGUUCCUUCAAGUGACUGUCGUAUAUCCUUCAAGGUUAAACAAUUUUCAUCAAGUUCCAACAUUUCCUCAUACUCUUCCAAAGUUCUCAUUCUUCUAGAAGACUUGGGUCCAAGAGGUGACAGAGACAAUGAUGGUGACACAACUUUUUCCUGCACUAUGUCUAUCGCCCCAUUUUGAGACUUUAAUUUAGGCAAUUUUCCAUAAGAACUUACUCCAGGGGAAGAUGAAUAAAAUAUUUCAGGAUGACCUUUCGCAUCUUCAAACAGAGGGCCAUCUGUAAUGAUGCUAGAGUUUGUCCCACUAUGUUGAUUGUGAGUAUGAAUGAAUUCAAGAAACUUAGAUUUGGAUGAAAACAAGGUAUGGCCAUGAUUGGAGUUGCUUACAUUACUUAUUUUAUGUUCUUGCAAGUUGAUCCCAUAAUUUUCACCAUACAACAGAGAAUCCAUCCUGUUAAUGUCCCUUCCAGGGUCUAUGCACCUAUCAUUAAAUUCAUCUGGUAAAAGCAAGCCAUUCAAAGGAGAAAACAACUGUUUCCGAACCAGAGAACCAGUUGCCUCAGUGGUACCAAUGACACUGGUUGAAAAAGGAACAGCAGAUUUAUGUCCUUCAAAAACACCAACAUUAGGAUGAGUAGUAUUUGGUCCAGUUGAAUCGAAUCCCACAAUCCUUGAAGCAGGAGUCUGAGCAAUCCUUCCACCAUUAAAUGGCAAAAAUCUAGUUUCUACUGUACCAACUCUUAAUCUAUGCGUGUUGGCCAUGCCAUCUUUAUGUGCACUGCCGACAUCAGCAUUGUUUGAAACCUCCCUUGACAAAGUGCAAGAGAGAUCCCCGAGCAUAUGAUUGCUUGGACGACCAAUGUGCAAUUCAUUCGUAUCAUAGCUCGCACCCGUUAAUCGAGGUGGAGUUUGUGCCAAUGUGCGUAAUGAUACAGUCACCUCCUCAGCAAUUUUGCUGGAAGACACUUGAGGCAAUCCCAUUCCUGAAACAAGAAACCCUUUUCACCACGUUCCCUAAGGUCUUUUCCUGUUCACUCAACCUACCCAAUUGAACCUAAUCUAUCCCCAACAAAUUACUAUCUUAUUCACGAUAGACACAAGUAAUUCCAACUUCACAAUGCCAGCAACAACACACUUAAAAGAAUCACCUCAGAAUUCAUAGAACACAAACCAGAGUUCAUUUACAUUUCAGCAAAUAACACUACUGCACCAGAAUACACAUUCCCAUUCUUACGGCAGCCCCCUCAAGCAAUUGCACGGCUAAAUUGAUCACAAAGGUGGAAAUAAAUUAGAGUAUGCAGCAGAAUUCAAACUGCCAGCGAACCCGCAUACCAAAAUUAAGGAGGCAUCCAUGAAUCCUUCCCCAAUAUCAAAGCCAGCUCUGCAAUGUUUCAGAAGAAGGGAAAAGAAAAACAAGGUUAGCUCAUUAGGCAAAAUUUUACACUCGGAAAUAGAUUGCAACAGACAGCAUAAAGAAACAGUUUUUCUCCAAAUUAGACAUCGACAUCCAAAUAAUUCUCAUCAUUAGGGAAGUCAACCCCCUUUUCCCCCUCUCCACACUAACAUAGUAUCCAAAAAAGAAAGAUUGGAUAUCUUUAGAUUAGAUGAGCUAAAACUGAGCUGGUUGGUUCACUUAAUCUUGGCACAAUGCUAAAAGGCAAAGCAAUCUUUAGAUGACCAAAUGCAACGUUUCCAAGCAAGAUGUUAAUCAGCUUAUUUCUUUUUUAACUAUUUAUUUUAUCAAGCGUAAGUAAUAUCAUCUCACCUUAUUCAAACAAUACUAAGAAAGUAGUAAAAACCAACAAAAGAACUUCACUUAAAUUACAAUACUGAUGAUCAUAGCAAGCAUUGCCAUGGAUUCACCAUCUCAACCCACCCCACAAAAAAUUCUAAAAAGAAAAAUGAAAAAUGAUUCUCUAGUACAGCAAUAAAUGAAAUUAUGCACACCUAUCAAAAAAAAAAAAAGAAGAGAAAAAGCAGGUAAAAAAAAUACGAUGAUGAAAUCUGAGCUGAAAACCAAAGCAUAAUAACAAAAAAAAAGGCAAAAGGCAUAAACUUUCUAUGUAUUUGUACAAAGAGCAAAAAAGGGACGCACCAGUGAAGCUUCUGAACUUGUAUAGAUUUUCUCUAAUUCAGUCAGAUAAAGCUCAAGAAUCAUACAAAUAAUCUGGGCUAAAAAUAAAAAUUGAUAAUCAAGUUGGAUUAAUAUAUUUUUUUCUAAUUUUAUUCUGAGGUUUCACGCAUUUCUAUCUGUUUCUCUCCUCUCAUCUCUCUCUAUCUCCCUCUUUUCUGCCUGCAGUUAAAAGAAAGAAGAAUAGUUGUUGAAAAAUGGAGGCUUGUUAAGUUGUAGCCUGUUGGCCUCUCAAGUCUCAACCCAUCUUGCACGCAUAUUUUUGUGUUAAGCUAUAUAUUACAAUAAUCGACUCUCAGCGCAAUGUUUUUGUUUUUUCCCGUUCAUAUAAAAGAUUAUGGAUGGAUAUAUGCAAGGAUCUUUUUGUUGGAUUUGUAUACAAUUCUUUUUUAGGGAUGAUAACGGAUAGGAUAAAAUUUAAUACCCGUGAAUAGUUGAUCUGGUAGAAUCUGGACGUUGAUGGAUAAUCUGUCAGGGUUUGAUAUUUAUGAGAAGCUACUAACAGAUAAUCCAAUAAGAUUUGAUAGGAGAAUCCUAAUAAUUCCAUAUCCGGUACCCAACAUACAAUAUGUGUGUGAAAAGGAAUUAAUACCUUUGUUAAACUUGCAUAUUCUCUCUGGUUUGUAUUCACUUUCUAUACAAAUCCUUGUUGAGAACUAUGAGAUAAUUGUUUGAAUCUUUUUUUGAAAAACUACUAAAUUUAUUCAUCAUAAAAUAUUGAAUUUCUCUAUAAUUCUAUUAAAGCUUAAAAUUCAACAUAGUGUGCUGAUUUAACAUGAUAUGUAUUGAUUUUAGGUUAAUAAAAUAAAAGCUAAUUCUCUUUUUUUUUUUUGGAAAUUAUUCAGAUUAACGGGUAGAAGGUACCGAUGAAUGAUCCGAACCUAAAAUGAGAGGGUUUGGUAAUAAGAAUUAAAAUCGGUAGGAUAAUCCGAUAGUAUUUGGUAAAAGAUUUAGAUAUAUGAGUUAGGAUUUGAUAAGAAAGUUUUUUGAGGAUAUUCAACCCACUAUCAUCCCUAAAUUUUUUUUCUUUUUUGAUUUUUUAAACAUUAGAGGACUGUAUUUUAACAAAUGGAAGCUUCAAAAGAAUUUUCUUAACUACCUUAACAUGACGGAAAGUUAUAUUUUGGUCACUACUAUCAUGUGAUUUAAUCAAACAUUGAAUCGAAUUGAAUGACAUAUUUGACAAGUUUCAAUAAGCAUUCCAAAAACCAGACUCAUUUAGUGCCUACUUUCGAAGAAAAAUAAAUGACAAAUUUUCGACCCAACAUGGAAAGUUAAACUUUCUAAGUCUUUCUUCUAAUUUAGUUGCUCAUCAAAAGCCUAAGCUAGACGUCGUAUGGCAACAAUAAACCAUUGAGUCUUGGUCCAUUGGCCAAAAAGACCCCCUUAAAGCUCUUGCCUACGCAAAGACAGAGGAUCAAAUCUCCCGACUUAGUGCAUCAAGAAGUAUAGUGCUUAUUGUUCUUAAAAAAUUCGGAGGAUGCAAUAGUGUUAAAUAGUUACCAUUGUUGUAAAAAAAAAAUAAUUUCAUAUCGCAACAAUAAUGUUAUAAGCAACCUUAUUUGUGUAAACACAUUUAUCAAUCACUUUUUUAUAUCAUAUAUAUCAAAUCGCUAAAAUACAUUUUAUUACAAAAACUCCUAAAAAUAGCAGUACAAAGAAUUCUAAUUUUGUGAACACGAGCACAUGAUUUUGGUCUAUAUUUGGAUGUAAAACUCUACCAAUGUUUAUUGUGUGGGACAAUGAAAUAGGCCGUGUAAGAGAAGUAGGAUCUCUAACAUUCUAACAUUUUCAUGUGCACUAGAAAAAUCUUUUAAAUAACAUUCAUAAUAUGUGUAUAUUUGGAAGAGAAGUCUUAAUCAAAUUCGUGUUAGGUUAAUGUUUAAGUUCAAGCUUCCUAAGCUCUCUUUCCAUUUACAUGACAAGUGUAUCGAUAAAUUCUCCAUCAAUGUCAUGUGGGACUUGUAUAAGUUUAGGUUGUGUUUGGAUUGCAUUUUCCGUCAUUUUUCAUGAAAAAAUUACUGUAGCGAUUUGAUAUAUGUGAGGGAAAAAGGUGAUAGAGAAAUGUGAUCACGGAAAACGACAAUAUUUUCCGACGGAAACAAGCAAUCCAAGUAAGGCCUUAGAUUUUGAACUCUUUCCAACUUUUGUAGUUGUGAUUGAAUCAUACAAAUAUUGACUUCCCUAUAUCAUAUUGCCACAUAGCAUCUUUCACAAUACUUUAGAAGCUGUGCAUUUUUGCUACAUGUGACCUGUUUUGAAACUUUUGGUUGGGGAAGAAAAUUUGGUAGAAGUUCCAGUCACCUGUGCAAGAAAAUAGAAAAGUAAAAUUAGGCAGAGGAAAAAAAACCGAUGCAUGGCUACCAUGGAAGCAGAGGAGUCCAUCAUUAUAGUCGCAUGUGGUACAAGUCCGUGAGGAACGAGUGGCAAAACCGCCAAGGGCCGAGGUUUCCAACCAACCACGUUUUCUUCUCCUUGUCUAUAAGUUUGCGGCUCUCCUUUUUCCUCCUACAUUUCUAGAGGAUUGGGAAUGUAGAACACUCUUUCCUUAUUUUUUUUUCCUAUGGGUUAGGCGGUUCAGAGAGAGGGAGAGGUUUCUGAUUCGAGUUCUCCUACUUAUAUUUUUAAAAAAUUUAAUUAAAAAAAUCACACUAUAUUUUCUAAAAUGUUGAAGACGAUUUAAUUUAGUGAUUAAAGUUAAAAAUCUAAAAAUUAAAAGUUUUAGAAUCAAAUGCUCUCACCUCCUACCUACUUAAAUUUCACCCUUCACUCACUGAAAAAUAUUUUUCUUUUCCGACCAGAAAGAAAAAAGCUACACCUUAGAAAAGUAGGGUUUCUCUCCUUUUUUUUCUUUUUUUUUUUGCUUUUCUAAUUCGACAGUGACUUCAAACCUUAUAAAAGGAAUAAAAACAAAAAAAAAAUUGAUAGUCUAACAAAAGCCCUAAUGGUCACUUAGCUAUUAGAAAUUUGGAGGCCAAUGAAUUUUAUAUUAUCUUCUGCAAAAUUAUUAAUAUAUUUUUUUAAAGAGAGUACGUAGUUUAUUUUAUAAAAAGUAUAUACAUAGUGUAAAGAGCAAAUAAAAAAAUUAAAAUUUUGUAGUGUUUGGUAUUUUAGGCGGUGUCAUAAGGGAACUGGAUUUUGACAUAAAUUGCCACUCAGCCUAGAAGAAACAAACACUCCAAAAGAAGAGACAAAAUUUGAUCUGUUUAUGCAUUUGUGUAUGACCUCGUCCUCAAUUUCUAUUUCUACUACGUUUCACAACUUUAAGAUUCACCACCCAACAAAAAUUUCUGCAAUCCGCCAUGUUUUUUUUUUCCCUCUUUCUUGGUCUCUCGUGUUUUGUUCUGCAAUGAAUGCAUCUUGGCCAAUACAAGAAAAUUAUUCUCCAUUCAACCAAUUUAUUCAAUCCUUGCCUACAAAAAUAAAUGAAUCAAUUUGGACUCGACGCAAAUUAAUCAUCUUGAUUAUACUCUUAAAAAAGCCGCAACAUUGGCACUUCACAUCAUGUGUGUUUUGAUAGCAGAUUAUUUGGGACAAUUUUGUGUGAAAAAAAUAACGUUGCACUUUUUUGAUAUGAUAUAUGUGAGAUAAAAAGAUAGUUGAAAAAUGUAUUGAUUUACCAUUUACCGAGCGUUUAAUGUUGUACGACUUACGGGAUUUACUAAAAUAAAUUUUCAAUCACAAGGGUAUUCUGAAGUUCGGGACGACCACAAAUUUGCCGAAAGCCCAAAUCGUUUUGGGACCAUUUAUUCUGGGCCAAGUUUAAGCUUGCUAAAACCCAGUUUAUAAAUGGACUUCAAAUUGGAAUGCAUUGUUGCAUUGGUGUAUUAAGAUGUCCAAAUUGGUUACUAUUAUUUACAAAGCCCAAUAUGGUAACUAGUAAAUUUUAUUGUGACAAUUUUUGAAGUAAAGUAGGAACUGAAAAUGAAUUCUUUCUAUAUUCGUCCCUUGGCUUUUCUCCCUCUAGCUAAAAAUAACUAAAGGAUUGAAUAAGACUUCAUGAGAAUUUGGGAUUUACCAAUGUGAUUAUCUCUAGAUCUCUACUAUGUAUAAAGCUUCUACAAAAAUUUUGGUGUAAAAGAAAUGCGUCAUUUUUUUUUUUUUGUAUUUUUAGCACAAAAAGGAAAAUGAAAAAAACAACCAAAAGAAAACUCCAAUCCAAACCAGUUUUCCACGUUUGGGGUGUCAUCUUUCUGUAUUUUCAUUCUUAAAAAAGAAAGAACUCCAUCCAAACGAGUUUUCCCCCCUCCAGUACUUAAAAAUGUGUCAUCCUUUGUAUUUUUUUCAUUUUCGCAUAUUUGAAUUGCGAGUUUUGCUUAUCGGAAUUUUUUUAGCACAUUUCUCAAUUAUCUAUUUACCUUAUAUAAUCACGUAGUUACAAUAAAUUUUUGUACAGAAACUCCAAUCUAAAUCGACAAAUUUGUAACUUUACACAUCUUUUCUCUUUCUGCCCAUGCCAUUCAGCACAAAUUUUUUAGUUAAGCACACACGUGAAUUAUGUUAAAAACACACUAAUAAUACAUUAAAGAAAAAUUCGUUUGGAUUGGUCACUUUUUCAAAUACAAUUUUACAAUAAUAUACAAAUAAAAAUAACUUAAAAAAUAUUUUAUCCAUACAAUAUAUCAAAUAUUUUAAAAAAAUUUUAUAAUAAAAAUUUUUCAUAUACACUGGUAUAGUCAAAUUUUUAAAAAAUACCUUUAAAAAUAACUAAUUCAAACGGAUCAUCUGUAUAUGGGACGUAGCCAAUUAAUUAUAUGAUUGUUCUAUAUUCUUGAAAGAAAAAAAAUAGCAUAACAUAAAUUAAGAUAUUAAAGGAGAACUCAAACUGAGCUAAGAAAGAGGAUCCACCUCUAUGGGCAAACAGCGCCAUCCAAAAUGGCCAACUCGCUUAGAAAUGGGUUGGUUAUACAAGAGUAGAAUCGGAGUUCGAAUUUGGCACAAGGAGAGGUCUCUUAUCCCUCCAGACUGGUUCAAGCGUAAGCAAACGGUGCUUAGGAGUUCAAAUAAACAAGUCAGUGAUGCUUAUCAGCUUUUUUGGACAGCAAUUGAAUAUAAUAAACCCGAUAAAGGAGGGUGGGAUCGUUAAAUUCUUAAACAACUCCAAUUUGAUACAGAUUGCAGGGAAUAGACCGAUAAAACCCAACAAAACAGAAAAAGAUAGACACAGAACCUCGUUGCUGACUCAGCAUUGAACUCUGUAAGCUCUCCAUAACUUCCUAAUUUUAGUAAGUUUUCCCUGAAAUUGUUUUCUUGAAUCGUUCAGCAACAUCAUCUCAUCUAUCAGUAAUCUGGGAUGGAAACUUUGAAUUAGUUUUCUGAAUUUUAAUGUUUGACUUCUUUCGUUCAAAUCCGUCAGAGGGUUGCUGAGACUGUAAUUUGAGUUAUAAAGUCUCAAUGAUCUGUCUUUUUGACUUCUUUCAAGAAUAUGUUCUUGAUUUAAAUAACGUUACUCUCUAAGUAAUUGUGGUGUAUAAGGUUUUCUAGUUUCCUGCGUAUGCUUUAGAAAAUAUUAAUUGCAGCUACUGCACCAUGUCAAACUAUGCUGCAAGACUCGUCUUUUAAGUUUCAGAUAGGGUGUCUGCAAUGUGGCUUUGACUUCUUUCUAGUGAUUGGCUUGCUGUACAGAAAAAUAGGGUAGCCCGGAUGACCGGACCUAAAGCAAAAAAGGCUGGAGCAGAUGCACUUAAUUUUUUGUUUUUCCACCACUGGAUUGGGAUUUAUUUUAAACUUUUUCUCUGAUGGAAAUCUAACAGACACAAAGCAAAGUGGAAGACAAUCAUUUAUAGAGUUUCUUCUGAUUUUAAUUGUUCGCAUCUUAGAUAAUUGUUUCUGGCAUUUAACUCCAUUUUUGCUGUUAAUGAGAUUCAAAAUCAGACUAUUUGCUAUUUGCAGCAUGUUUGAUGAUUUUGUCUAUUCACUAUUGCACUGCUGUUUUGGGCUACGAUAUUUGAAUGUGUUGUAUACCAAAUAAAUAUUGAUUAGUGAAUUAGCAUUCUUGGUUCUUUGCCGGCUUCAUUGUUUAUCUAUGCAAUAUGUUUUUUCUUGGAACUCACAUCGUAUAUGGUUUCUAAUUUGUAUUCACUUUUAGGUUGUGAUAAUAUGAAUUACUCCUUGAAAUGCCAGUUUCUUAUAGUGACUGUUUAAAACGUUUAUGUUUCAGCUCCAUCGUAGUGUCAUCACCAUAUGGCGCUUUACCGCAGCUCUCACUCAAUCCGCAGAGCCGUUGCCAAUAGUUGGAGACUCUCACUAAAGCCAAUUUCAGCAGCCUACAAUUCUUGUGAUUGGAGUUACUUCAAUGAGAAUAAUGACAAUAAUUGGUGUCGUUUUAAUUUUGUUAAGAGCCCAUUUACAUCUGGUUCUCCCCAUGUGAAAUUUUCGAACACUGAUACUUCAACAUCAUCGUACUCAACAUUACACCCCCUCCAUGAAGGGCCUUCUUAUAUGCGUGCUGCUGUUUUUUGGGAACCAAACAAACCCCUCACAAUUGAAGACUUCCAAAUGCCCCGGCCAAAAGCUAAUGAAAUCCUCAUCAAAACCAAGGGUACAUCUGUUCCUCCUAUACCUCUAUUCCUUUUAUUAUACAUCAGCUGUCAACAUCAUGAAAAUAGAAAAUCCAAGAAUUUAGUUUCGUUUAGAAGAUCACCAAACUGAAGGUGACUCUUUCCAAGAAUAUUUGACUAUCUGGUUGCUAUAUAUGACUUCAAUCAUGCAUGAAUAGUCAAAACCCAAUAGUAACCGUAGUUUAAGUAAUCUAGGUGUAUAUGUGUAGACAGCCGGAAUUAUCUUGCAUAAAAACUGUAUAGUGAAUUAGCUGGAUGCAAGCAGGCAUGACGCAGCCAAAAGGGAAGAAAUAGGAUGUGAGACUAGUAGAUGAUGCUUCUUGUCUUGCUCAAUGAGCGUUUCCAUCAUUACCUUAAAGUGUUAGUGCGCUUUAUGAACACUUAAUAUCUUAAAUGAUAUGUUUGCUUCAAUCAACUGCGUGCAGCCUGUGGGGUGUGCCACUCGGAUCUGCAUGUAAUAAAAGGUGAGCUUCCAUUUGCAAGCCCUUGCGUCGUGGGCCAUGAGAUAACAGGUGAGGUCGUUGAACAUGGCGCACUCACCGACUCUAAAAUCGUUGAAAGGUUUAACAUUUAGUUUGUGUGUCCCUUUCGUGAUAUGCAGUGUAGUUGCAAACAUGCUCACCUUUUACUGAUUCUUUGCUUUGAAUUUUAUUUCUUCAGAUUUCCUGUAGGAGCUCAAGUUGUUGGAGCUUUCAUAAUGCCUUGUGGUAGUUGUUUCUUUUGCUCUAAGGUGGCUUGCAUUGAUACUUUAUUUUUCAUCUUCUUGCCAUAUUUGUAUGUCAUUUGUCAAAUCAAAUUAUGAGCUGAUGAUGAAUUUGGGUUGGAAAUAGGGUCAAGAUGACUUGUGUGAGUCAUUCUUUGCUUAUAACCGAGCAAAAGGAACACUUUAUGAUGGUGAAACACGGCUAUUUCUCCGUAGCAAUGGUAAUCAAGUCUUUACAGCUUUUUUGUUGGGUUUCAAACUGCUUUGCUCUACUUGUAGGUUGAGUGUAUAAUUUUUUGCAUUUGAUCACCUUAAGUUGCCACUUUGGUGUGGAAUAUUAUAGAUCACAACUUUUUGAAAUUUUUGUAGCAUCAGGAAUCUUUAAACUUUGAUGUUAAAUCCAAAUAUGGAUGUGUCUCCUUAUUCCAAAGAAAGGGUCUUUUCCCUUAUUUUUAACUGUAUUACAAUAUUCGUAAGAAGUUGAAUUUUCAUUUGAGUUGUAUUUGAAGAUUCCCAUGUUUUCUUCCAUAUUAUGCUCCAUUAAACCAUUGCACAAAUAGUUGUUUUCCCUAAUGUCUACCAAAAUUUCCAGUAUCUAUUAUGGAUAUUUUACCUCCAUCAAGCUACAAGAAUUAAAGCUUUGUGCAAAAUAUAGCUUUGCUUUUAUGGUUAAAGGUUCAAAUUUAGGUUUCCUGCAUAAGCUCCUGAUGGAUCUUCAUUUUGUGGGAUUUGCCAAACAAUUUUUUGCUUCUUUAAGUGAAAAUGAUUCUUUGUAGAACAGGCUUUAAGAAGUUUGUUUGAUUUUGGAUGCGCAGGAAAACCAGUGUAUAUGUACAGUAUGGGAGGUCUUGCAGAGUACUGUGUAGUGCCAGCACAUGGAUUGACUGUUCUACCGAAUUCCUUGCCUUACACUGAAUCUGCUAUACUGGGUUGUGCUGUUUUUACUGCCUACGGGGCUAUGGCUCAUGCUGCACAGGUUCGCCCUGGCGAUGCCAUUGCUGUGAUUGGCAUAGGUGGUGUGGGCUCAAGGUAUAAAACUCAGAUUCCUUGGGUAGUACUACCCAUUCUGUUUACAGGUUUAAAUAUUUCAUUUGGGUUUUAUGACCAAAUGAGAAAUGCAGGUUUCUGUGAAACAGAGAAAGUUGUUUAAUUAUAAUGAUAGAAGCACAAUGUAUAUCCAGAUAUGGUGUUUGGAUUUCGUUUAUGAAGAUUGCUUUUAUGUUAUGGGAGUGAAAAGUUACUCAAGGUAUCAAUGGAAGUACUUCUAGAAUUUUUCUUCCUUUCAUCUGUACUCUUCUCUUUUUAUCAGUGAUAAGGCCUGAUGACUGACACUGUGAAGGCCUUGUUUGCGUGUUGAAAGGGCAAAAAAGACUAAUUGAGAUACUUCUUCUUGGAGAGAUAGCCAUCCAUUCAUACUCUCUUGAUCAUUGAAGUGCAUGAGUAUGCCUUCAUAUGCUUUGAUUAAGCUUGGUGGAUAAUGCUCUAAAUAUAGUACAAUUUUCUGGCGAUUAAGAUUUUUUGAGAUAUUCUUGGGUUUGGGCAUCUCAAUAGUUGUUGUUGUUAUCAUGGCUUAUAACUCAUUUUUCAUGGUCUUUUUCAAAAUGCACCAGUUACCCAUUCUGAUUCUCAAGUACUGGAAAAGGAUAUGGGAACUUUUGCAGAUGCUUGCUUGAAAUUUAUGUGCCACGAUUAUCUUCUGGACCAAUCAAUCUUCACUACAUUUAACUUGUUGUGCAUGACUUGCAAUCGUCUCAUGAUUACUAAUUGGUGGAAGAGCAACUCUCAAGGAUCUGUGUUUAGGGAAAUCACAUAUAACGCUGGAAAUAGAAGUUAACAGUUAUAACUACAAGAAAGUGUUGUUGCUUAUGGAUCUUCAUGUUUUGGAUGCUGGAUGAAAUCAAUAUAUACCUACACAUGAACUUUACCUUACUACAUGAAAACGUAGACCAUGAUGGUAGCAGCCAUUGUCAAAAUUGUCUUUUUUUUUUUUUCCUUUGCUUCUCUCUUUUUACUCUUUAUUCUUGAUAUCUUCCUGCACAAAAAUUAGAACUUUUGGCAAUUUAAGCUUUAAUUUAGUGAAGUACAGAAGGUAAAAGUAAAUACAAAUCUCAUUUUGUUUUUUUUUUCCCUUGCUCAGUUGCCUGCAGAUAGCACGGGCAUUUGGGGCUUCUGAGAUUAUUGCUGUGGAUGUCCAAGAUGAGAAACUGCAGAAAGCAAAAACUCUUGGAGCUACUUAUACCAUAAAUGCACGAAAUGAAGAUGCUGCUAAAAAAAUUAAGGUAGUUGAUCCUUUUCUUGUGUAUUUAAUUUGGAGAUAUGAACAAUUUCUUAUUAUAGGACUUCUGAAACAAUAAUGUUUUACACUUUUUGUCAUGUUAAACUGGUUUCUUGAAAAGAUUGGCUUAGGCAUGUAAAGUCCUGCCAACGAAGUAAUUGAGCCUUCUUUGCAGGUGGGCAUGUGGUUCACAUUUUGCUUUUCUUGGGUGUAUGUUCUUACUUUUUUGCUAAUUUAGAUUAUACAUACAUGUGUUUCAAUGUGUUUCAUAUCUGAUAUUUUAAUUUUCAUGCUGAGUUAUUGUUCUAUGGAUUUGCAUCCUGAUGAAAACAUACCUAAGCUUGAAUCUUUCUGAUGCAAAACCUGAACUAUGGCAUUCUUCAUGCUGCUCUAUUAGAUAGUUUUGACUUCAUACAAUUUUAAUUAGCUUUCACAAGUACCCACCUUAUCGAUCUAGAUUGAAAAGUAGCUUUCCUAGAUUAAUUGCUGCUGCACACCCCUCUAGUCUUGUGCAAACAGAUUCAACAGUUUCUCUCUCUCGGUAUCUGCUUUUCCAUUUCUCUCUCCUUUUGACUUUCUAUAUGUGACUGCCCAUAGAUUUAUGUCUCUGACAGAACAUUAUACUUGAUUGGCAAUCAUUUGAAGCUAGAAGCUGCAUACAAGUUCUUAAUUAAAAAUUCCUUGUAAAGAGAAGAUUAAAUGUUCCGCGGAUAACAGGUUUAUUUUAACAGGAAAUAACAGGGGGAAUGGGUGUAGAUGUUGCUGUGGAAGCCUUGGGAAAACCACAAACCUUUAAUCAGUGUGUUCAGAGUGUUCGAGAUGGAGGAAAAGCAGUAAUGAUUGGCCUUACACUCUCUGGUGCCAAAGGCGAGGUUGACAUAAAUCAUUUGGUUCGUAGACAGGUGUGUGAAUUAUUUCAUAGAAAUUAAAAUUUCUGUUUUACAUAAUGAAUUUUUAUUCUAAAGUAGUAGUAGUAUUUUUCUUUACUUGAAAGCACAACAUGGACCCUUUUAAAUAAACAAUUUUGUUUAGAAAUUUGAAUCGUUCAGGGAAGGGGUAAUUUAGUUGGCAGGCCCAUGCUAAUUGUGUUAAAUGUAAAUUUCUAGAUUAGACAUGGUGAAAACUAGAAGGUACCAACUAGUUACUGGAAUUGAGGUCGUGCUUGUAACAAGUGACAUCUGAGUUCGUCUAGCUUGGCGAUAAAAAGCACCAGUAUCAAUCUCUAUUUGCCAGUAAAAACUAAAACUGGAAAUUACUGGCCUGUCUACAUGGUAAUUGAGGUUCCUUGUGAAGACCUUCUUUUGUUUGACCUGUCACGAGUUGCAUCUUGUAUUCAUUCACCUUGCAAUUCAGAUUGUCAGUUGCCCUCCUAUUGCCAGUUACACAGUCAAAAGUUCUUGUGCUUCCCUUUUAGUAAGAGGACCGUAGGAAUAUGAUUCUGUCAUUCAGACAAUUCAUUGUCAAUAGCUUUUUCCUUGCUCAAGUUCUCCGAUAAUGCACAUUAGGCUUCUAGAUUAUCAGAUUACCUUUUCCAUUUCAUGUUUGUUGUGCGUAAUAUACUUCUUUUGGCAUUUGCAUGGUGCAGAUAAAAGUAAUUGGAUCAUAUGGGGGUAGGGCGAGGCAAGAUUUGCCCAAGUUGGUUAAACUAGCAGAAAGUGGCAUAUUCAAUCUCAAGGCAGCUGUUUCCAGGACAUUGACGUUUGAAGAGGCUGAUAAAGCAUACAAGGACCUUGACAAGGGAAACAUUAUUGGACGUGCUGUUGUGGAGAUCAUGUAAUUUCGCACUCUGAAACUUUGAAAGAAAUGGCUCUUGCCAUGCCACAGUGCCGGCCUAUAAGUUCUUGUUGUCUGUGAAACUAGAGUUCAGUUUGUAGAGAAACAACUCUUUCUGAAUCUGGAAAGACAAUGGAAAAUACUUUUGCUUUUUAGUAAGUAACAUUUUAGCACUUGAUUUUACCCCUUUAUAACUUGCAGUGGUCUUUUUAACUUGCAGAUAAUGUAACUUCUGCAAAAAUGCAUUUAGAUGUUCUCCUUUAUAUCUAGAAAUCUUCCAUUCAAGAAAAGCAUUAUCAAACUGCUAUUAUUCAUGCAGAGCAGUCAUUGUGCAUAUUGUACUGAAUGGACAAAUCAGGGUUUGGAUUGCGGUUUCAUGCAAAAAAUUUUUACGUUUUUCGUGAACACAUUUUUCAAUUAUCUUUUUACCUUAUAUGUAUCAAAUUAUUACAACAUAUUUUUCUACAAAAACUUCUAAAAAUAAUAAUCCAACCGACAGACCUGAACAUUCUCUUAGGUGCAAUUUGUCUUCUUAGCUUAACAACAGGCUUGUGGAGAAUGAAAAGAGAAAUUCCAAGAUAAAAAGAAUUACUAACAGAGAGGUUAUCUGGAAGAUUGAUCAAAUAAAGUAGGUAGAAUUUUGUUUACAAAAAUGGAUUUAUACUUCAUGUCCCAUCUAUAUUAAGUUUUUUCUUUUUAAAUUUAUUUUUAUUUAGAAAAGGAGUGAUGGGAAGGGCGCAAAAUUAACCUUAGGCCGCGUUAGCGCCUUUCCCCCUCGGCCUCCUUCCCUCUCCAUUUUAAACAGAAAACACAAACCCUAACACACACUCACACACUUCCUCCCGGCCCUCUCGCUCGCUCUCAGACAAAUAGAAUGAAGAAGAAGAAGCAGAAGACGACCGACUCGUCGGCCGCAGCUCUUAUUCCUACACGUUCUACGGCCGAUCUCAAAGCCCUAAUUCAAUCUCACAGCGACUUCUUCGACAGGCUAAUCGAACUCAUCCCAGCAAGAUUCUACCUCCCACCUGAUGACGACGUUUCUGACAAUCCCAAGCCCUACUUCCACGGCCUCUCCAAAGCUGCCAAAGCUUCCCUCAAACGCCAAUCCAAGCAAAACCUCAAACUUGCCCGCCGCAACCGCCUCGACCCGGACAAAAUCUCCCAUUCCUCCACCCUCGACCUUCUCAAACAAUCCCUGGACACCAGUGCCCAUGGCGGUGAGGUUGCUGAAAUACCCCCGCAAGACGUCCCGAGGGCUAUUGAUUUAGAGGAGAAGAAUGGUGGGGAUGGUAAUGAUGGUGAAAAGGGUCAAGAAAAGCAGGUUACUUACGAAGAAUUGCGUGAGAAAUUGAGGAAAAAGAUUGAGUUGUUACGCGGGAAUCGAGGCGAGGGGAAUAGGAGUGCUAGGAAGGGGAGGGAGGAUGAUAAGGAUAGAGAUAAUCAUAGAGGAGAAAAGAAGAGAAAGAGGGAUGGUGAAGGGAGCAGUGGGAAGGGUGUUGAAGUGGUGGAAAAUGACAGUGAAGAGAUAAUAGAGUAUGGGAAAGUGAAGAUAGGGGACGAUGAGAUGGAAGGGAAGAAGAGGAAGAAGAAGAGGAAAAUGUCGAAGGUGAAGGAGUGGGAUAGAGCUAAGCGGUUGGAGGAGGUCAAGAAAGAGAAUCCCAGGGUAGCAGAGAGGGAAUGGUGGAGGGCAGCUGAGAAUAGGGCAAUGGGAGUGAAGGUGCAUGACGAUCCAAGGUUGUUGAGGGAGAGUAUGAAGAAGGAGAAGAAGAGGAAGGAAAAAAAUGCAGAGAAGUGGAAGGAGAGGAUUGAGGGCCAGGAGAAGGCUAAGGAGGGGAAGCAGCAGAAGAGGAAGGAGAACAUUGAAGGGAGGAUUAGGGAUAAAAAGAUGAGGAAGAUUGCUAAAAGGGAGAAGAAGCUCAUGAGGCCUGGGUUCGAGGGGCGCAAGGACGAGUACAUUACGAAAGAUUAAGGUUAGGGGAAGUAAAACUUUUUUCUGGAAAUGGUAUUUGUGUUUUUGGGGUAAUUUGUUUUGGCGAAAAUAAUAUGUUUUAGGAAAGGAUUGAAUUUUCGCUUUGUAAUUUAGAUAUAUUUAUGCAAAUGUUGUCGUAGAUUGCUCUUUAAUAAGGCUUCUCAUUUUGUGAAGAGUCUUGGUUGGAACAAGGAACUUUAUAACACAAUUGUUAUAUUGUAAAAUUUCAGUUGCUGUUCGUCUGGUUCUCAUGUGAAGCAAUUAUCAGUUUGUUUUACGUUAGAAUAAUUAUUAGUUUGUAAGAAAGUUCUAUGAGUGUACUGGUAGCUUUAGUGAUAGGAUAAUUAGUUUUUCUGUACAAUGCCAUAUUUGAGUUUGUAAUUGCUGACAUCUUAACACCAAACCCUUAUUUGUUAUGAUCUACCAUUUGAUAAAAAUGCAAAAUGAAAAAUGAAUUUUAGCUGGGGUUCUGACGUUCUGUGACUUGACAUAGCCGGGAAAUGAUUCUAAAUUAUGCUGCUGCAUUUUUGGCCUUGUAGAGUCCAAGUUGCUUCUGGCUCGAAAGAUCUUUGACAAAUGAGUCAAUCCUGAACAUCUAUACUACAUAUGAGGCAUUAGCAUUUCUUUUGGUGUAAUUUCCUCACAGCGUGUGAUUCCAUAGAUACCCUUCCCCUUAUUUCUCCCGUGACGUUAAAUACAAUUAACUUCCUCCAGCAUUGCACCAACAAACAUUAAAUAAGUAUACACAAGCCAAAAACUAGUUAGUUAAAAAACCAGUGGAAAGUUGAUAACUAACAGCAUUGCAGGAUUGCUGUUACAUACUAGUCAUUGCAGCAUCAUUCACCAGCUGGUAAUGCAAAAUUAGUAGAUGAAAAAAUAAUGGCACUUUGGGAUAUGAUUGAUAGUUGAGAAGGUAGCCGCGUUCUUCAAAAGUUCUAGUGUAUAUAUUUGUCCAUGAUAAACUUUUAUUGGUGAUUAUUUGUCUAAUUUUUUGCUAGUUGAAGGGUAUGAAUUUACAUUUCAUAUACAUGGGGAAUGAACUAUUUACCUCUGGCCUUGGUAUCAUGCUCCCCAAUGGAUUUUAUAACUUAAUGCCCUGACCUAAACUGAACUAUUAUUGCCUUAGCUGCCUUCGUACUAUAAGUUGGCACCUGAUUUGCUUGGAGUAAGAUCUGUAGGAGAGAGAAUUUCUUUUGUUGAAGAAGCAUGCUGCAUAGUGGUGCGGAAUGUGCUGUUUAAUUUGGGACUAGGGCUUGUGAUCCUUCUCUUAGCCGGAUAAGAAAGUUAGACAUAAGAGCUCCCAAUGCAAGCUUGAAAUUGUAGACCAAUCCUCUAAAGACAGUAUGAGGUCUUUCUUUUUUAUCCUAAGCUGUGAACUAAAUAAGCAAAUGGCUUCCCAGGUGGGUUUUUCGGGGGUGGAUAAUGUGAGAAGCAUGGCUAUUUUACACUUUCUCUUUAAAUGAAAAAUCCAAAAUUUGAUAAUGCAGUGAGGUUAUCUACUGCUGCUAGUUUGUUUUCUUUUUGAAUAUCACUCACUGCUUAAAUAUCUUGUUGGAAUAUAUCGUCUUUCAGUUUAAGAUAGAAUGUUAUGCUCCUUCUAGUCUGCUGUCCUUGUAGACCAAUUUACUUGGGAAUUAUUGACAAAUUUUUCCUUAAUUUUCAGAUUCUCAUUUCUUUUUGGUGCCUGUUGAUUUGGGUUGUGCAAUAUCCCAUGCUCAAAUAGUGAUGUCUGCAACAAGGCGGUUCUGGUCUUUUGGUGUUAUGUGCGUAUCAUUUAGGUAGAUUUCUGAUAUCCUCCUCCUCAGAUGUGUUAAAGAGUUGAGAUGAUCCUCAGUCUCUGCAUUUUGGCCCGUCAUAGUCAUGAGAUCACUACUCCAUACAGGAUGUUGAGAGCUGGUCUAUGCAGCGUAAUUGAUUUUUGCCUUUUGUAUUUGUUACUGAUGUAACCAUUGAUAGUGUUGCCACAAUAUUUGUUACUGAUGGAACCAUUGAUAAUCUUGCUACAAAAUUCAGCAUUCCUCUUGGCUAUGAUUUUUUUUUUCUUUUUAUAAUUUAGAGACUUUCCAGCUGAGCUUUAUAUCAAUUAGACUAUAAAAUACUGAGUUGUUCUCUGCACUUUCUCUGGUCUUGUAAUUUGAGGGUGUUUGGAUUGCCAUUUUCUGCCAAAAAAUUGCAUCGUUUUCCGUGAUCACAUUUUCCUAUUACCUUUUUCCUUCACAUACAUCAAAUCGUUACAGUAAUUUUUCCAUGAAAAAUGAUGGAAAAUACAAUCCAAUCCAUGGAAAAUGACGAAAAAUGCAAUCCAAACGGGUUUCGGAGCUGUAAAUGGUAGCAUUAAAAACAACUUUUAGGAGUUAGAACAAAGCUCUAGUUACUGCUGCUUUUUUAUUCCAAAAGACAGUACACCGUGUACGCGUUUUGUGAGUUUGAUCAGUUUAUCUGCAUCAUUUCUGGUCAAGUAAAGAAUCUUUUCUCCACUCUACUUCUUGUAAACUAUAAAAGAAUUUUCUUUCUACUUUAUAGGUUUACACAUAUUAUGAGUUAUUGCUAGCCCAAGUAUAAAAUAUUAUUGUUCAUCAUUUCAGAUGCAAGUUGAACCAAGAAUAUUUUGAAUCAUCGUAUGGAUUUAAUUGAGAGUGAUGUGACAAUAAAUUGUUCCUAGCCUUUGCAAAAUCAGCCUAUGGUAAUAAUUGUUAGUUGUUACUCUCCGUCCUCAUUGCUUGCCAAUUUACAUAUGCCUAAAAGAUAGAUUUACGGGAAAAAGAAGAAGAAAUGCCAAUAUCUUAACAUGAUUAUUAAUAGUAUUAAUAUUCUAGAGAAAUGUUAUUUACACUCUAUUUUUUAUUAUUUACAUUUUAUUUUUUGUUAUUUAUAUUUUCAUCAUUUAUUUUAUCAUAUAAUCUAAUAAAUAAAAAUUAUAUAAUUAAAAUGAUAGUGAAAAUGUGAUUAACAGAAAUAAGAAUGCAAAUUAGUGAAUAACAUUUCCCAUAUCUAGGGAUGGCAACGGGGCGGGGGACCCCUCCCGCAUCCCCCGCCUCGCUGCCUACAAACUCCUCCCGCCCCGCCCCGCUUCUCCCGCGGUGGUUAAUAAAAAUUUGUUAUAUAAUUUUAUUAUGGUUAAAUUUUAGCAAAUAAUCAGGUACUAAAAUAUCAACACAUCAUCAAAUUAUUAUUCAUUGUAAUUUUACAAUUGAAACAUAUAAAAACAAUCAAAUAAAAAUUAUUUGAAUACAAUCCAACAUUAUGAAAUAAAUAUAACUAAAGUAGUCAAGUUUUCACUUUUAACACAAAUACAAUCACUAAUUCAUUAUUGUACUUGUGCUUUUUUUAAGAAAAAAAUGUUAUUGUAUUAAGUGUAAUUAGGGAUUUAGUAUAAAUGUAUUAGUAAAUUUAGUAUAAUUAAUUAAUAAUUUAUAUUAAUACACGUAUAUAAUUAUUAGUAUAAUUAAUAAUAUCAAUUAUAUUAUAUAUACUAAUAGACAUUAUAUAAUACAUAUAACUAAUAAUAUCAUUAUUAUAAGUUUGUGACUAAUUAAAUUAUAUAUUAUAUAUAUAAUUAUAUACAUAUAUAUUAUAUAUUUAUUUUUUUAAAGCGAGUGGCGGGGGACAGGGAACACUCCCGUGCCCCACCCCCGCCCCAACGCCUCCCCAUUAGCCCCCGCGGAGCACACUUGCCAUCCCUACCCAUAUCUUAUCAAAAAGAAAUCAAGAAAUGCUUCUCCCAAUUCAUAACCGUACGAGUGAUUUCCAAUGCUAGCCAAACAAGCAUAAGAUUCAAAGUGACACCCUAUUCGGCAAUCUACCAUUCAAAUAAAAAAAAAAAGGUGGGAAAGAAAGACAGAAACAAAACAAAAGGCAAAAAGAUUUUUUUUUUUUUUUUGUUGUGUUUUGUAAUAGUUUCUUCAUUAAACAAUUUUUAGCCUAAAAGUACUGGAAACAAAUUUUUUAUCCUACCAAAGAAAAAAAAAACUCAAAAUUAAUUUUUGGGAUAUUUCCCAAAGCACGGCCAUGGAAAAAAAAAAAAAGCCAGCUCAAGGUAUUUUUUGUCUGCUUUGUUUUGUUAUACUACUAAUUGUCUCUGACACACCAAAAGUCCAACCGCUUCCCUACUCACGCACACACUCUCUCUCCCUCCCUCUCUCUCAAGAAACAAAACGGUAAAGCAAAAGCGCGCACACACACACACACACACACACACUUGGAGAGAAAGGGAGAGUGUAGGUGACGAAACGCAGCAAUUCUUUGCCUACCCAUUUCUUCAAUUUUAUAGGAUUAUUGGUUACUGAUUAAGUUUGAUCAAAAGGAAUUUUGAAGGAAAGUUAAACCGACUGACAGAGAAUCAAAAGGAAGCGGUGGAGGGGGUGUUUUGAUCGUUGAAGAUGGUGGACUUGGCUAGAGUGCAGAAAGAGCUUCAAGAAUGCAACAAAGACGUUGAGGUUUCAGGAAUACGCGUGGCUCCUAAAGCCGACUCUCUCAUUCACUUGAUUGGUACCAUUCCUGGGCCUCUUGGUACUCCUUAUGAAGGUGGCACUUUCAACAUCGACAUCACCCUUCCUGGUACCUUUUAUACCUUGCAGAACCUCUCUGAUUUCGUGCAGAUGUUUAUAGAUGAAUGUGCGUUGGGUAUUUAUUAAUUUUUUAAAAAGAGGAUGGAGGUGAUUUUUUUUUUCUGAAUUUUUGCUUGAUUUUGAUUGUGGGUUUUUUCAGUUUUUGGUAAAGGGUGCCAUAUGGGUUUUUUUUUUCCUUUUAUUAUUCUUUGUUUUUAAGUUUUGUUCUGAAUUUGGUAAAGGCAUGCUUUAGUGGUGACAGGAAACGAAUGUUGUAAUUGCUUUUGGGGAUAAACACAAAUUAGCUAUAUUAAAAGUUGAAAGUUGAAAGUUGAAAGUGGUCGCCUUAAUCUUGUCCGAAGAGUGACGGAAAGCUGUGGUUUGGAAUUUGCGACAUGCCAAUGUCUUGUGUGAUGUCUCCUGUUAGAGUGAAUUUUGUUUUUUCGGGAUUGAAUAUUUGUGCAAAUAACUGUUUGAAUAUUGAUUUUCUUGGAUGAAAAGAGCUGUUUUAUGUAUUUAUUGGGCUAGUUAAGAAGGUUACAGAGUGAAUAGAAAUGAUUGUAAUCUAGAUGUUUGAGUAGUAAUUGGAGGCCGUUUAUAAUUGUUUUCCCUUUUAAAUGAAAUAUGUGCUAAUAGCUACAUUUAAGAACUGAUUACAGGGUUACUUGUCAAAAAAAGAAAAAAAGAACUGAUUACAGGGUUAAGAAAUAAACAACAGAAGGGAAAAACAGAGAAGAAAACUACUCAUGCUAUCGGUUAUCUUUGGAAUUGAGGGGAUUAUGAAGGAAAACAAAGUGGAAUUCUGACUAUAUCUGUUAUAUCUCAUUGCUCAGACAUUUGUUUCUGGACAGGAUGUAAUAUCUCAUUUUUUGAGGUUGAAAUGGAAAAAGGUGUUUUUUUAAAUUGCUGAUGGAUUCUAUGUUCAUUGUGGCCUUCUUGUUUCAUUGCAGAUGGAUACCCUUUUGAGCCUCCCAAAAUGAGAUUUGCCACCAAAGUUUGGUAUGAGGAAAGCUUCUACGGUUUAUUAGCAGUCUCUUCAACAUUUUCGAAAUGUUUUUUCAUUUCUAUGUUGUACUUAAUCCAUGUAUAUAGGACUCGCUUUUGCAUUCUUUUCAUCAACUGUUGGAAAAGGUACAAUCCCAGCAAAUUGAAGAUAGAACCGCAUGUGUGAUUCACUCAAUUUUUGUAGCUUGUAGAAGAAAGACUUGAUGCACAGUUGUAAUUUGACUUUCCAUGUUUGAAUAGUUUAUCUGUCUUUGUUCUUUUGUUUUUGGUGGUUUUCAAUACAUUCAUGGCAUGACAAGCUCAUGUUUAUGCUUCGGUUACGUUCCACAUACUGUUCCUACAUAGUUGCAUGCCAUGGAAAAGCAUGUAUUGAGGGGGCUGAUGGAUAACUCCAUUAGCUUGUGAAGUUGAUCGGCUUUUUGGUAAACAAAACUGUUUUAGGAUACUUAGUGUCCACAUGAUGGAAAGCUUUUUCUUGAUUCUUGUUUCCUUCAAAAUUAUUUUGUGCAUUUUAAACGACAACUUAUUUUGUCGAUAGUUCAAAACUUUUAUCUAGCCCAUUAUGCUGCUUCUAUGGCUUUAAGUUUUUAAACUCAUAGCUGGUUGCUCUAUCUCCAGAGUUUAUCUCCUCCGACAAUUGAUGACUAUUAACCUAUAUACUUUGGUUUUAGGCUUACGUGUUAUAUGCUUUCAAUAAACUUACACCUUUAUGGUCCAUUGUUGAGAUAUUUUUUAGUGAGACCUCAUUCCUUUAAUUCUAGAGAUGAAAAAUAUAAAUUCCAGUUGUCAUUUAAAAGCCACAAGGUUGGCAGGCUAUAAUUUUCUUAGAAAAUAAUUUUCUUAUAAUUUUAAACAUUCUCACCUAACGGAGCCAAAGGGCUUCUUAGUUAACGAAUCUACCAAUGGAUGGAUUAAACACGCUUAAUUUGCAUUAGAAAUGCCUGCUGGGAUAAAAAUGAUUACUUAAUGGUGCUAAACUGUGACCUAAUACAGCUGAAGCAUGUCAUUUGUAUGUUAAACCAUCUGUAUGUGGAAAUCAUAUACGAUAUGUUUGUUUCUUUUUGCUUCUACACGCACAUUCAGGUCCUCUAUUUCUAUCUCCAUAACAGACACACUCAACCCUCACAUGUGCAUGUACUAUCACACAUUUGGUGUCAACAUACGUAUAUGUGGUUGUAUGUGAUCAAUACAGUAAAUGGAUAUUUUUAUGUGUGUACAAGCAGAUAUAUAAUGAAUAAAAAAUUCCAGUUUCCAUCCAAAUGCUAUAAGAUUUAUAGGAAAGAAUGUGUUCAUCGCAUGAUAUGCAUAGAAAAUACCAUUUAUCGUGAAACGUUUUACACCAGAUGGGGCCAAAGUGCUAAUGAUGUUAAGGUAUCUACCAAUAACUGCAUUAAUUUCACUUCGUGUUGGAAUUGCCUGUUGGAGAUAAAAAAUACUCAACACAGAUAUAGCAUGUGAAUCAUGUUAUACCAUUUUUGUGUCGAGAAAAUGAUAUAUGAUAUGUUAGUUUCUUUUUGCCUCUAGACAUGCAUGCACGCAUUUGCAUCCUCUCUCUCUCCCUCUCUCUCUCUCUAAUCCACGUAGGCUAAAACCUCACAAAGCUUGACCAUUUGCUCACAUGCGCGUGUAGUAUCAUGCACACUGUAUUUCGUAUACAUAUAUGUGGAUUUAUGUAUGUGUCAAUAGGGAAAUGGAUGUAUAGGUUAUAGUGUAGACAUACAUGUAGAUGUAUGUUUGUCUUGAUAUGGAAAUUGAUAUCUGUUUGUAUGCUACAAAUACAUUUACGUCAUAGUUUAGACAUACAUGUAAACAUAUGCAUGUGUCGAUAUGUAUAUGGAUAUCUGUAUUUAUAUAGAGAUAGAUGUAGAUAUAUGCUGUCUGGAAUCAAUAAAUUAAUCUUUACAAGCUUAUAGUAAUUAUUUUACGAGCUUAAUCUUUUACAAUAGUAGUUUGGAUAUCUACAAGGACAACUAACCAGAACUCCAUAGUGAAAACCUGUUACAAUAAUGGGAUCAAGUGUUUUUCAGUCUUAGAGGGGGCUGACCGUACUUCGUAUGCGUAAUCAUGAUAAAUACAAUGAUGUAAUUAAGGUUCAAUCGUCUUUGUACGAAAAUAGUUUUCUUUAUUUGCAGUGUCAUUUUUCUCUUACUGAUAGAGAUACUAUGCCAUCCCCAAGAAAAAGUCAACAUACUAUUCGAUUGAGGUCUGUAAUCAUUUUUUUAGUACUUAAAUUUGUUGCUUUAGUUCUGGCAGUAAAUAUAUUAUGCAGAGCUUAGUUUAAGUUUAAGCUUUGCUUGUUAACAACUGACGUUUAUUGCCAUUAUGUGAAUAUUGGCAUUUUUUAGUCUUUAUGGUUCCCCAACCAGAAUUAGUUUACUACAUGGUGCAUCGCUUUUCACGUUAUGCUUUGUCGAUAUCUUCAUGACUUUUCUUUUAGGAAAGUGAAUGACAACCUUUAUGUAAUUGGAUCUGUACUCCAGUUAGUUGUCAGUUCUGGAUCAUAAGAGCUGGCCUCUGCAUGCAUUUGUAUUCCUUUAGAUGUCGGAAAAUAUCAAGAAAAAAAAAUAAACUGCAGUAUUAGUCACCAUAAGAGAGGUUCGCUACUUAUUUUUCUUGUUUUUAAGUUGAAUUGGUUGUGCUAUUGAGUUUUUUGGCUGAUAUAUAUGUUUUAAGGAAAGUGCAAUUUUCUGUAGUUUUCCACUGCCAUUAUGUUAAGCAAUAUGCUUCCGAAAAUUUUUGUGCUAAUGACUUGUCUAUUGAAUACUUAUUGAAGGCACCCUAACAUAAGCAGUCAGAGUGGAGCAAUAUGCUUGGACAUCCUGAAAGAUCAAUGGAGCCCUGCGCUCACUAUUAAGACAGCACUUCUCUCUCUACAAGCAUUACUCUCUGCUCCUGCACCAGAUGAUCCACAAGAUGCUGUUGUUGCAAAACAGGUGGUACUGCUAGUCUAUCUUCUAGAUGAUCUAUACUAAAUUGGCAAGGUUCUGGACAGAACACUGAUAGAUUACCAAUUAAUAAGCUUUGCUUUUUCAAUGAGACCUGCAUCUUUGCUGUUUAAUCACUUCUUCUUUGGUCACUUGUUUUUUGCUUUUUUUGACCAACUCAUUUGCCAUUUUAUUGAAAUUUUCAGUAUAUCAAAGACCAAAAUACCUUUAUCAGCACAGCUCGCUACUGGACAGAAGCUUUUGCCAAAGCAACAGGUGUUGAGGAGAAGGUGUGGAUUUUGUUUCUACCCCAUUUUGCUUGCUUUUUUUGGUUUUUCCAACUUCGCAAUUUACUAUUUUCAUAGCCCCAUACCAUGAAUUAGAGGUUUGACAAGAAGGGUACCAGAGUUGUCCAGUGAACCAGCAGUGCUGAUUGCACCUUGACAUCUCUCACGUUAUGGGAACUAAUUAACUCUUGGCUAAUGCUUUGAUUAUUUGCAGGUGAAAAGGCUUAUCGAGAUGGGCUUUCCUGAAGAUUUAGUGAGGAGUAUUCUGGAAGCUGUUGGUGGUGAUGAAAAUUUGGCCCUUGAGAAACUUUGCUCUGCAUAGCACCUGUUGCUCAACUUCUGCUGGAAUUUGAACUUUAAUUUCUUGUCAUUGAACUUUCUUUUUGCGAUAAGAGACUCAACAUUAUAGAAAGGCUCAAGGAGAAUUGAAUAUAGGUUAUUACUUACAGGGGUUUUUGCAUGCAUUUCACCCCUCAUGAAUGCUUACUGAUACUUUUUCUAAGUGAAGACAAUGAAAUUGCAUGUUAAUUACUGUGAUGAUUGGGAGCUUCCCCUCAAUGUCUUUUUCAGUUAUUGAGUUACGACUUCUGCUUGGUAUGCUGGAGGCUUGAAAUGUGCCAGCCAGUAGCUAUAACCUGAGCUGCUACUUGGUGAAUCAUUCGUAUCGUGGCUUUGACCUUGGGAGUGCACUGAGCCACAGAAUAAGUUUUGCUCAUUUCUGUUUCCGCCAAUGCAAUCCUAAAGAUACCGUUUGGAUGACUGGAAAAGUAAGGGGAAGUUACUAAUUCAUUUUGCUCUCUCUUGAAUCUUGGAUUGCAGGAAGCAGAGCUGAUUAGAAGAAGAAUUCUCCAGCCGGAAAACGUUUCCUAUCAUUGGAAAAACUUAAUCACAUCCUCUUAAAACUACCAAUGUUUUCUCUCUCUCUCUCUCUCUCUUGUUCUUUUGUCUAAUGAACUCGAGAGAAAAACCCUUUAUCUUUUUUCCUUUUCUUCAAUUCAAAAUUUUCCUACAAAAAGUGAUUAAGAAGUACAAUUUAUGAGAUACGAUUUGUUAAAAAUUGAUUCAAAAGUACGAUACAACGAGACAGACAUACAUAAUUAUAAGAAAACAUCGUUCUUUUUGCUUUAUUGAAGUUUAUACUGCCGGAAGAUUAAAACAAAAAAAAAACACAGAAAAAUGGGUCAAUAAUAAUACUCCAGUCCGGCUCCUUCGACUCCAACAAGACGUAAUUGUAAAACAAAAUCUAGUAUCCGAAUAAAAAAAUUAUUUGUAAAUCUUUUUUAUUUUGAGAUUUUUUUAGACAUCUUUUUGUUUUUCUAAUUGGAUUUGAAAACCACCCGCUCUUGGACUGGUGGCCACCACCAAGCCCUUAAGACUUUGGUGGGGUGGGAGCAAGGCUUUGAUGGGGUGGAAGGCAAGGGUCAAACCUUGCCUCCCACAAAAAAUGCCACUCUUGUGGCUCUGCUUCAAAUCCAGACGGGUGCUCUCGCACCCGUCUGGUCUGGUGGUGGUUCUGUCCCUAUCGAUUCUCAUAAGUUCAGUUGAGCCUCCUCGUAGAUAGAGUAGGAGCAGAGAUGACAAUCGAAAAAAAAAAAAAAAUUGGAUUUGAACUAUUCCAAGUCGUAUUCCAGUUUGGGCGAUGGGAAUUCCAAGUCAUAUUACGACUGCUUGCAAGGGGUUUAAGAAUCGCGGGCACAGCAACCAGUCACAGUCAGUAAAACCCUAUUCUCCUUCAAUGGCGGGAAAGCGAAAAGCGGACGACGAAAACUCUUCCUCAGAAGAUACCUCUUCAUCGUCCUCGUCAGAAGAGGAAUCUUCAUCUCCAGAUGGAGAUGGAGAUGAAGAUUCCUCCUCGUCCGGCUCCGAAUCGUCGUCUUCAUCCGAAGAAGAAGAAGGAGAAGAGGUUCAAAAUAAUGGCAAUGAUUCGUCAAAAAAGCAGAAAGUUGUAAAAAUCUCCGAUGAAGAAGAAGAGGUUCAAAAUAACGACGACGAAUCAUCAAAAAAGGAGAAAUUAAGGGAACUUUUGGAACCCUUGUCCAAGGAUCAGAUUUUAGGGUUUUUAAAAGAAGAGGCCCUAAAGGACCCAUCUAUUCUCUCUCGGAUCGUCGAGAAAGCCGAGUCCGACCCCACCCACACCCACCGCAAAAUCUUCAUCCACGGCCUCGCCUGGGAUGCCACCGAGGACCAAGUCCUCCAAGUCUUCGAACCUUUCGGAGAAGUUGAGGAGCUCAAGCUAAUAACUGAUAAGGUUACAGGCCGGGCAAAGGGUUACGCUUUUCUCCUCUUCAAAACUCGGGCUGCCGCCAAAAGUGCGCUGAAUAAUCCUCAGAAGAAAAUUGGCAACCGGACUGUCAGUUGCCAGCUCGCGGUUCUCGGUCCUGCUGCCGGUUCUGCCCCGGCAGGACAGGCUGCCGAGGUUAGUAAGAGGAAGCUCUUUGUGGCUAACGUUGGCCCGAAUGUUAAUGUGGAGAGGCUUCGGGCUUUUUUUGGGAAGUUUGGGGAGAUUGAGGAUGGGCCGUUGGGGUUGGAUCCUUCUACGAACAAGCCAAGAGGGUAUGCGAUUUUCGUGUACAAGUCAGUUGAUGGGUUGAACAAAGCAUUGGAGCAGCCUGCUAAGUUGUUUGAGGGGUCGCAAUUGAAUUGCAAGAAGUUUGUUGAAGGUUUUAACAAUAAUAAUAAUAGUAAGAAUGGUGGUAGCAAGGGCAGUAAUCAACAGCAGAAUCAGGGUAGUGGUAAUCAUGGUUUAGGCAUAAAUCCAGGCUAUUUGGGUUCUGGUUUGAAUGCUGGAGGGAUGUUCAUGCAGCAGAAUCCUGGCAUUGGGUUGGUUGGGAAUCCAAUGCUCGCAGCUGCUUUGAAUCAACCAGGCUUGGCUGUUGCUGCAAUGGCUGGGAUAGGUGGGAAUUUUGGGUUGAAUAAUUUAAAUCCUGGUAUGAUAGGAAACUAUGGACCGCUAGCGGCUUUGCUAGGCCUAGGGGCUUUACAAGGUGCUGAAACGGGGCAGUCUUCUGUAGGAGCAAAUGCAGCUGGAGUAGCGGUAGGGACUGGAUCAGCUCAGCCUCAGUCUGAUAUUGGAUCAUCAGGGAUGACUUUACCUUCAUAGUUCGUACUUUAUUUAGAUGAUUGAGUUUUUCUUCUUUCAUGGAUGUCACAUUCUUUAAAUAGCAUUCACUGCUUUUUGUUCUUAACCUUCUCAGUUCGUAGGGAAGAAAUUUUAGUAUUUUAUGAACACUGCGCUGACUGAAGCAUGGUUUGCUGUCUAACUUAGGUCAUUAGGUCAUUCAUUUAUUCAGCGUGGGGAUGUGGAUAUUGAUUGACAUUUACCGUUGUUCUUUUUAUUGUUUGGAAAAUUUUGCCAACUUGCUAUAGACUAUUGGCUCAUGACAACUGUUGGAAACUGCCAAACUAGGUCAUAUGACAAAAUUACCAACCUCAUCUUGAUGGAUGUAGUUGGAUAGUACAAUUGUUCUUCUAAUGCUUUGUGGAUCCAUAAAAUUGGCCUGAUUCUGCAACUCUUCCUGUCAAUUUCCAUCUUCACUCCCUCUCUUUUUCAAUUUAAAGGUAUUAUUAGAUCUUAUGUCUUUCAGAUAUUCUUUACUGGCUUCUGAAUCAUGUCAUACAGGUAAAGCUUGGAACUCUUUUUCUUUUAGUCCAGACCAACCAGUAAUUUGUCUCUUCUUAAAGCCCUGGUUGGGUAAGCUGGAAAUUUAUUAGGGCCAGUGUACUUGUGUGCUUACCAACACAUUCUAGGAUAGAACAAGUGCCCUUGAGCAACAAUUUAGAUGAAUUGAUUGACAUUUAAGUUGAAUGUCAAACCUAAUUAAUGUCCUUUACACAUUGGUUUAUAUACGUACAUUGUGAAAUGAAAAUUGGUUUAGGUGAUGUUGCAGAGUCUGAAUUCAUCAACGAGUUCAAAUUCAUCCGCCAGCUUAACGAUUUACAUACUGACCUUGCCCGCAGUCCAGCUUUAGUGGCACUCGGUAGCCAUAUCAGGUGCCAAUUGUGCGCUGUUGCGCUACUAGAAAAAGUGCACGAUUGGCUAUUUAGUGCUCAAGAAUAUGUGGGGUGGAAUUACUUGCAUUUUGUUUGAUAUUUGACAUUAAAUCUUAUUCAACUGUCCAAAGAAAUUGAAACAAUUCUUGCUUUUAGGAAGAAUCGCUGGAACUCAUACUUCUUUCUUCUUUUGACUCUACUACUCCCCUGUAUUUAGAAGGGAAAACAGAAAAUAAAAAAUGUAGUCCAGACUCCAGCCUCUAUAUGAAAGGAAAGUGAAGGGACGGUGAAGGAGAGAAUUAGGAGAGUCACUGAGGGGCUGCGAAGACGGUUUACAUUAAAUAAAUAAAUAAAUAAAUAAAGGAUAGAAAGGGAAAGAAAACGAAGCAUUUGAAGGGAGAUAAUAGCAGACUUGCCAAAAAUCUGGUAAAAAACAGGUGCAGAAGGUUUUACUUCACUUACAGUUCUGAAAAGCCGACCAUCUGCAAAACUUGCUUACAAAGAAGUCUCUGCAGCAGAAUGGUCAAAGAAUGAUUUGUCUGACAUUGAAGUCUCAAGAGCUAGAUACAGCAAAGAUGCUUGCAUAUCAUUUAGACAUAUCUUCUCUAGUAUUGGCACAAACUUCGUUCUAAACCAAAAGACAAGAAAAUAGAAAAAUCAAUCCAAGUUUUACGAUACAUAUGGUUCUAACACAAGUAGUUACUUGGAAGAAAUCUCUGAUCUCCGAUCGAUAUGGGAGCGAUGGUGAAUGAGUCAUGAGUCUAGUAUACAAAUAGGAAGUUAGCAGUCGCAACGAUAGUGAACUCUGACUCUUCUUGUUUGAGGUGGACAAACGAUGAAAAGCAGCAGUGCCAAUAGCAGGAGCAGCACCAAAUUUAGCAGCAGACUAUGAUCAUCACCACCUGAGCCGCAGCAUGCGCUUCCCAUGCUAUUUCUUCUGCUGCAGAAAAUCUCCUGAAAAAAACAGCCGAAACGUCGCUGUGGUGCGAACAAGAAAUCAGAAGACUUUCAGCUCCAAAGCAGCAAAAAUAAAGAAGGAAAAUGAUAGAGAUCUUGAGUGUUUAAGAGGCUUGCAAACAUUAACUGAAGGUAGGUACCAGGGAAAGCCAAUUCAACAGCUCUAUGAUUGUUUAUGAUGAGAUUAAGACCAGAGGUUGCGAGGGAUGGACGAAAG